AUGAAGGGACGGCUGGUGUUUCUGUUGCUGCCGUUGAUCUGGGCGGAGGGGGCCCCCUUGGAGGAAUAUCUAGAACCACCUGUUUUAUACUGUUCGGACCACAGUGAUGACAUCCAGGUAAACUGUGCAUCACCUCCACAGAACUACUCCCACAAUCUACCUGUGUCAUACCAUUGGGAACACACAGGAGAGGUUAUUGAUCAUGGACUGCAGUCUAUUAAACUAUCGAAGAAUGAAGGCCUUCCUGAGAAAAUUACAUGCAUUAUUCACAUAUACAAUGUACAUGCCAGUAGCUCCAUUGCGUUAACUGAAUGUCUUUCAAUAGAAUCUGAUCAAGGGCGAAGUCGACCAGCACUGAUUGGGGUGUUUGGGGUUCUGGUGAUCGUAUUGCUUGUAUUUGGUCUGUGGAAGAAAGAUCGUUUAACACAUUGGCUGAAUACCAGGAAGCAGAAAAGACAAGAAGAUCCAGGCAAUGCUGAUGUUCCACUGAAUGAAAUGCUAACCGAUAAUGGUCCCAGAUGUGUAUCAGAGGAUUUAAAAGAUAACAGGAGCGAAGACACUGGUGACGAUGUUCCACUGAAUGAAACACCUGAUGACUCCAAAUGUGUACUAGAGAAUUCGAAAGAUGACAGGAGGGAAGGCAAUGCUGAUGUUCCACUGAAUGAAAUGCUAACCGAUAAUGGUCCCAGAUGUGUAUCAGAGGAUUUAAAAGAUAACAGGAGCGAAGACACUGGUGACGAUGUUCCACUGAAUGAAACACCUGAUGACUCCAAAUGUGUACUAGAGAAUUCGAAAGAUGACAGGAGGGAAGGCAAUGCUGAAGAUGUUCCACUGAAUGAAACACCUGAUGACUCCAAAUGUGUACUAGAGAAUUCAAAAGAUGACAGGAGGGAAGGAAAUUCUACAACUGCAAAAGCUUAA
rnacentral:lncRNA from 1 species